rnacentral:rRNA from 1 species
UACGUAGGGACCAAGCGUUGUUCGGAUUUACUGGGCGUAAAGGGCGCGUAGGCGGCAUGACAAGUCACUUGUGAAAUCUCCGGGCUUAACUCGGAACGGCCAAGUGAAACUGUCAAGCUAGAGUGCGGAAGGGGCAAUCGGAAUUCUUGGUGUAGCGAUGAAAUGCGUAGAUAUCAAGAGGAACACCUGAGGUGAAGACGGGUUGCUGGGCCGACACUGACGCUGAUGCGCGAAAGCCAGGGGAGCAAACGGG